rnacentral:lncRNA from 1 species
UCAUAUUGAGUGUCAAAAGAAUGGGAGAUUUUAACACAUAGCAGUCUAAAAGUAUUCUCGUAAUAGUCUAAAAAAUAGACUCGUAAUUAAUUAAAUGAAUUGAAUCAACACUCAAAGUUAGAUAUCAUAAAACUUAGAUCUAAGAAAUUAAUUUAGGCCGUUUGCACCCAAAAGAAGAAAAAGAACCUGCAAAUCAAACCCAAAAGACCAACAUGCAAUUAACGAGAUGAGGAAUCAAACCUUAGGGUAAUCGGAUUCAUCAAAAGGGAACCCCAUCGACCUUAAUUCCAAUGGGAACCUGGAUGAACAGAGGGAGGCAGUGGCACGGCUGGUGGUGGCGUAGAUGGUGGAGUUGACGAGAGGCGAGCUGGCGACGCUGGGGGGAGACGCCGGAGCGGAGGAGAAAGAGCGGGGGCUGGUUUGCGGCUGCUAUUGUUGGUGGCAGUAGAUCUGGAGGUCCGCCAUUGGUGUUGCCUGGCCAAUGAAGAGAGUAGAGCAACGACGAUAGUAGCCAUGGAUGUCGAUGAUGAUGAAAAGAGAGAAAGACAGGUAGAGAGAGAAGGGAUAGAGAGAUGAGGGAGGC